rnacentral:ncRNA from 2 species
AAAUGGAUAAUGAAAAUGAGUGGCCUGAUCUUUUUCAGGUAAAAAGGGAAACCGGUGAGAAUCCGGUGCGGUGCCGCCACUGUAAAGGGAAGUCUUUUCCAUAAUGCCACUGGCUCUAAGCCGGGAAGGCGGAAAAAGACGAUGAACCUAAGCCAGGAGACCUGCUUAUUUUCUUUAGCCGCA